UGAAAUUGUUCUCAAUUUAUUCGUGGCAUGCGAUGUUACGAAGAUGGGAUAUUUUUGCUGAAUUGUGAUGUGAAUUAUUGAUAGAUUCUCGUUUGAGCAGUACUGAGAUACGAAGUUCGUGAAGGGGCUUGUCUGCGCUACUGGUCUAAGUCGUUAUCUAAUUCUCGAAUGGAUCAAGAUUGUUCAAAUAAUUUUAUUUCAACGCACUUCAAAGGUACUCAAACCGGAAUAACAGUGGUGGAAUUAUCGAAAUAUGGACAACGGACAUCGGUCGAAACCAUAAUAAUAUGCAAUCACGAAUAGCUUCGCGCGAUCUGUACAGCUGCAAAAGGACUGUAAGAGAGACGGGGAGUGUCGUGUCCAUGAAUUGAACGAAAGGCGGUAUUAUUAAUCACCAAACUAGUCAAUGUAGAUCGUUAUGCUCUUUUUUAGGAGUAGUCGUGUUGUUUAACCGGACUUGAGCUGGCGUCCGGGUUCGUUGACGUUGGGUGACCAGGGUUGGAGUAGAAGCGCAGACUAGUGAAUAUCAUUUCAAUCUGCUGCCCACAAAUGUUAUGAAACUAUCAACAAGGAAUCCACUCUGGUGACAGGCCAAUAUCAGUUGAACAGUAGCACACAGUGAUUGAACCACACUUGAUGUUGAUUGUGUUGUAAAUGUCUGUAUCGAUUUCAUCGUAAACAUUAAAACAUUUGAUAAAAUUUA